rnacentral:rRNA from 1 species
UACGUAGGUGGCAAGCGUUAUCCGGAUUUAUUGGGCGUAAAGGGAACGCAGGCGGUCUUUUAAGUCUGAUGUGAAAGCCUUCGGCUUAACCGGAGUAGUGCAUUGGAAACUGGGAGACUUGAGUGCAGAAGAGGAGAGUGGAACUCCAUGUGUAGCGGUGAAAUGCGUAGAUAUAUGGAAGAACACCAGUGGCGAAGGCGACUUUCUGGACUGUGCCUGACGCUGAGGCGCGAAAGCGUGGGUAGCGAACGGG